rnacentral:rRNA from 1 species
CAGUAGCCGCGGUAAUACGUAGGACCCGAGCGUUGUCCGGAUUUAUUGGGCGUAAAGCGAGCGCAGGCGGUUAGAUAAGUCUGAAGUUAAAGGCUGUGGCUUAACCAUAGUACGCUUUGGAAACUGUUUAACUUGAGUGCAAGAGGGGAGAGUGGAAUUCCAUGUGUAGCGGUGAAAUGCGUUGAGAUCGGAAAGAACACCAACGGUGAAAGCACUCUGUUGGGCCGACACUGACACUGAGAGACGAAAGCUAGGGGAGAAAAUGGGAUUAGAUACCCCAGUAGUCCCGUCUCUUAUACAC